rnacentral:rRNA from 1 species
GACUACCAUGGCAGUCACGGGUAACGGAGAAUUAGGGGUUCGAUUCCGGAGAGGGGAGCCUGAGAAACGGCUACCACAUCUACGGAAGGCAGCAGGCGCGUAAAUUACCCAAUCCUGAUUCAGGGAGGUAGUGACAAGAAAUAACAACUCGGGGCCUCACGGCUUACGAGAUUGCAAUGAGAACAAUUUAAAAUCUCUUAGCGAGGAACAAUUGGAGGGCAAGUCUGGUGCCAGCAGCCGCGGUAAUUCCAGCUCCAAUAGCGUAUAUUAAAGUUGUUGCAGUUAAAAAGCUCGUAGUUGAAUUUCUGAUUAUGGAUGUAGCGGUUUCCGUUACAUUUGUAGUCAUCCACAUGAGAACCUUUCUCGGCCUUCACUGGUCGGUUGGGGGAUUCAUGUACUUUACUUUGAAAAAAUCAGAGUGUUUCAGGCAGGCGUUUGCAUGAUACACAAGCAU